CUAAAAGAGCCUGAUCAAAGGGUCAGUUUGAUAGAUUGAAUUUAGCAAACGAA
rnacentral:tRNA from 1 species